UUACGGUCAUAUGACGUUGAAACACCGGUUCUCAUGUGAUCACCGAAGUUAAGCAACGUCGAGCCUGGCCGGUACCUAUAUUGGUGACCUCUUGGGGA